AGCCGAUUUCGAAUUUAUAGUGCUCGAAGGCAACCUUGGCAGUUAGGAGCUAUCUAGAAUUAGAAAAACCUUAGUCAGGACUCCUCUUCUUUUCUUUUCUCUUCUUUUGAUUGAAAACUUAUUGAAAAAACAAAUCAAAAUCAAAAAAUCAAAAAAAAAAUAGAAGAAAAAGUACCUUCUUCACUUUUUUCAUGGAAAAGGGUGUC
rnacentral:lncRNA from 1 species